rnacentral:rRNA from 1 species
UACGAAGGGGGCUAGCGUUGUUCGGAUUUACUGGGCGUAAAGCGCACGUAGGCGGAUCUUUAAGUCAGAGGUGAAAUCCCAAGGCUCAACCCUGGAACUGCCUUUGAUACUGGGUGUCUUGAGUAUGGAAGAGGUGAGUGGAAUUCCGAGUGUAGAGGUGAAAUUCGUAGAUAUUCGGAGGAACACCAGUGGCGAAGGCGGCUCACUGGUCCAUUACUGACGCUGAGGUGCGAAAGCGUGGGGAGCAAACAGG